UUUGACCUCAAAUCAGGUAGGACUACCCGCUGAACUUAAGCAUAUCAAUAAGCGGAGGAAAAGAAACUAACAAGGAUUCCCCUAGUAACUGCGAGUGAAGCGGGAAAAGCUCAAAUUUUGAAAUCUGGCAGUCUAUUUUUUCUUCUUUGGCUGUCCGAAUUGUAAUCUAGAGAAGUGCUUACCUGCACUGGACCAUGUAUAAGUCUCCUGGAAUGGAGCGUCGCAGAGGGUGAGAAUCCCGUCUUUGACAUGGACUGCCAGUGUGUUGUGGUGUGCUCUCAAAGAGUCGAGUUGUUUGGGAAUGCAGCUCUAAAUGGGUGGUAAACUCCAUCUAAAGCUAAAUAUUGGCGAGAGACCGAUAGCGAACAAGUACCGUGAGGGAAAGAUGAAAAGGACUUUGGAAAGAGAGUUAAACAGUAUGUGAAAUUGUUGAAAGGGAAACGCUUGAAGUCAGUUGUGUCGGCUAGGGAUCAACCUAGCUGUUUUUUGCUGGGUGAAUUUCCUAGUCUGACAGGCCAACAUCAGUCUUGACUGCUGGAAAAGAGCAGGGGGAAUGUGGCACCUUUGGGUGUGUUAUAGCCUUUUGUCAUAUGUGGCAGUCGGGACUGAGGGAUGCAGCGUGCCGCGAGGCUGGGUUUCGACCACGUUCACGCUUAGGAUGUUGGCUUUUAAUGGCUUCAAUCGACCCGUCUUGAAACACGGACCAAGGAGUCUAACAUGCCUGCGAGUGUUUGGGUGGAAAACCCUUGCGCGCAAUGAAAGUGAAAGUUGAGAUCCCUGUCAUGGGGAGCAUCGACGCCCGGACUUGAGCUUUUAGCGACGGAUCUGCGGUAGAGCAUGCAUGUUGGGACCCGAAAGAUGGUGAACUAUGCCUGAAUAGGGCAAAGCCAGAGGAAACUCUGGUGGAGGCUCGUAGCGAUUCUGACGUGCAAAUCGAUCGUCAAAUUUGGGUAUAGGGGCGAAAGACUAAUCGAACCAUCUAGUAGCUGGUUCCUGCCGAAGUUUCCCUCAGGAUAGCAGAAGCUCAUUAUCAGAUUUAUGUGGUAAAGCGAAUGAUUAGAGGCCUUGGGGUUGAAACAACCUUAACCUAUUCUCAAACUUUAAAUAUGUAAGAACGAGCUGUCACUUGAUUGGACUGCU
rnacentral:rRNA from 1 species